AUCUUCCCCAAGAGUCCAUAUCGACGGGAUGGUUUGGCACCUCGAUGUCGGCUCGUCGCAUCCUGGGGCUGGAGUCGGUCCCAAGGGUUGGGCUGUUCGCCCAUUAAAGCGGUACGCGAGCUGGGUUUAGAACGUCGUGAGACAGUUCGGUCCCUAUCCGCUGUGCGCGUAGGAAUAUUGAGAAGGGCUGUCCCUAGUACGAGAGGACCGGGACGGACGAACCUCUGGUGUGCCAGUUGUCCUGCCAAGGGCAUGGCUGGUUGGCUACGUUCGGAAAGGAUAACCGCUGAAAGCAUCUAAGCGGGAAGCCUGCUUCGAGAUGAGUAUUCCCACCCUCUUGAAGGGUUAAGGCUCCCAGUAGACGACUGGGUUGAUAGGCCAGAUGUGGAAGCCCGGUAACGGGUGGAGCUGACUGGUACUAAUAGGCCGAGGGCUUGUCCUCAGUUG
rnacentral:rRNA from 1 species